rnacentral:rRNA from 1 species
CAGCCGCCACGGUAAUACGUAGGUGGCAAGCGUUGUCCGGAAUUAUUGGGCGUAAAGGGCUCGCAGGCGGUUUCUUAAGUCUGAUGUGAAAGCCCCCGGCUCAACCGGGGAGGGUCAUUGGAAACUGGGAAACUUGAGUGCAGAAGAGGAGAGUGGAAUUCCACGUGUAGCGGUGAAAUGCGUAGAGAUGUGGAGGAACACCAGUGGCGAAGGCGACUCUCUGGUCUGUAACUGACGCUGAGGAGCGAAAACGUGGGGAGCGAACAGGAUUAGAUACCCCUGUAGUCCCUGUCUCUUAUAC